CGCGGAGUAGAGCAGUCUGGUUAGCUCGUCAGGCUCAUAACCUGAAGGUCGUUGGUUCGAAUCCUUCCUCCGCAACCA
rnacentral:tRNA from 1 species